rnacentral:ncRNA from 1 species
UACUUGUUGAUCCUGCCAUUUUCUUGUCCCAAAGAUUAAGCCAUGCUAGUCUUAGUACACAUGGUCGAUACAGUGAAACGGUGAAUGGCUCAUUAAAUCAGUAAUGGUUCCAUUGAUCGCUCCAAUGUUACUUGGAUAACUGUGGCUGAACGCCAAGAAAUGGCACUGACCUUCGGGGACACAUGCAUUUAUUAGACAAAACCUAUACAGGGUGCUCUCUGGUGCCCCGGCCGCUUUUGGUGACCCUUCGUGGCACUCAUUCAAAUGUCUGCCCCUAUCAACUUUCAAUGGUAGUUUCUGUGUACUACCAUGGUGACCAUAGGUAAUGGGGAAAUCAGGGUUCGAUUGCAGAGAGGGAGCCUUGAGAAACAGCUACUACUUCCAAGAAAGGCAGCAGGCACACAAAUGAUCCACUCCCGAUUCAGGGAGGUGGUGAUAAAAAAAAAAAGACAAUACAGGACUCUUUCGGGUCCCUGUAAUUGGAAUGAGUACACUUCAAAUCCUUUAAUGAGGAUCCAUUACUGAUGUUUAGAAGCAUUUUUACAGUGGUCAAAACUUCUGAAAGUAUCAUUG